rnacentral:rRNA from 1 species
CUGGUUGAUCCUGCCRGAGGCUACUGCUAUCGGGGUCCGACUAAGCCAUGCGAGUUGAGAGGGGUAAGCCCUCGGCAUAUUGCUCAGUAACACGCGGAUAACCUGCCCUUGGGUUUGGGAUAACCCCGGGAAACUGGGACUAAUACCGGAUAGAUCAUAGAAACUGGAAUGUUCUUUGAUCGAAAGCUCCGGCGCCCAAGGAUGGGUCUGCGGCCUAUCRGGUAGUAGUGGGUGUAGCGUACCUACUAGCCUACGACGGGUACGGGUUGUGAGAGCAAGAGCCCGGAGAUGGAUUCUGAGACACGAAUCCAGGCCCUACGGGGUGCAGCAGGCGCGAAAACUUUACAAUGCYGGMAACRGCGAUAAGGGGACCUCGAGUGCCAGGUUACAAAUCUGGCUGUCGUGAUGCCUAAAAAGCAUUGCAUAGCAAGGGCCGGGCAAGACCGGUGCCAGCCGCCGCGGUAACACCGGCGGCUCGAGUGGUAACCGUUAUUAUUGGGUCUAAAGGGUCUGUAGCCGGCCGGAUAAGUCUCUUGGGAAAUCUGGCAGCUUAACUGUCAGGCUUUCAGGAGAUACUGUCUGGCUCGAGGCCGGGAGAGGUGAGAGGUACUUCAGGGGUAGGGGUGAAAUCUUGUAAUCCUUGAAGGACCACCAGUGGCGAAGGCGUCUCACCAGAACGGACCUGACGGCAAGGGACGAAAGCUAGGGGCACGAACCGGAUUAGAUACCCGGGUAGUCCUAGCCGUAAACGAUACUCGCUAGGUGUCGGCCACGGUGCGACCGUUGUCGGUGCCGUAGGGAAGCCGUGAAGCGAGCCACCUGGGAAGUACGGCCGCAAGGCUGAAACUUAAAGGAAUUGGCGGGGGAGCACCACAACGGGUGGAGCUUGCGGUUUAAUUGGAKUCAACGCCGGG